UGUGAAUAAAUCGUUGGAUAAUUCAAAUUCAGUUAGGUUUGAAUCCUAGCGGUCAUUAAUUAAGUGUUGGAAGUCGUCUCUAAACUAAGGGGCAGAAUUCCUUAUAACUCAAAUUAGGGAGUAAAGUACACUACGAGUGUAUACAUUCUUUUUUUUUUUCUUCGGGAAAUGUUGCUCUGAAUCCUUGGACAAGAGCCACUGCUAAACGAAACGAGAAUUGCUAAGUUGGCGGGAAGCAGCAGCCAAUUAAAGCCUAGAUUUAACCUAUGACGUCACAGACUCGACCGCCAAGAUCUAGUAGCCAAUCAAGGGUUGUGACGUUACUGUUGAUGAUGUAUACAUCACGGUUCAUCAGCCAAUGAAAGGGCUUAGAUGCUCUACGUCACAGUGUGGAGGUGUUGCACAAACCCGCGUAAACUGGCGCCUCAGUCAUGCGCAGGAGAAGAUGACGUGGUGGUGCUCGCUCCUCUGGGGGAGAUUGCUCCAAAUCCUUGGAUCAGGAGCCCAUUACCAGCCAGGUGUGUGCAUGUCACCGCUCUGGGCACAGCCAAUGAAAACGAGAGUUACUAAGCUGGCGGGAAGCAGGAGCCAAUUACAGCCUAGAUUUAACCUAUGACGUCACGGGCUCGAGCGCCAAAACCCAGCAGCCAAUCAGCAGUCGUGACGUCAUGUGACGAGCCAGUCAGCGCUCAGAGACUCGACGUCACAGUGGUGGUGGUGCGCGUAAACUGUUGCCUCAAGUCAUGCGCGGGAGGCGGCGUCAGCGCGCGCUCCUCUGGUUAAGGUUGUUCCAAAUCCUUGGAUCAAGAGUCCAUCUUAUCACCAGCAAUCAAAACGCAAGUUACUAAGUUGGCGGGAAGCAGCAGCUAAUUACAACCUAGAUUUAGCCUGACGUCACGGGCUCGAGCGCCAAGACCCAGCAGGCGUGACGUCACUGUUGAUCAGCCAAUGAGAACGCUCAGAGACUCCUACGUCACAGUAGUGGUGGUGCAGGAGCCCACAAACUGGCGCGCGCCUCCUCGAGUUUUGCGCGGGAGGAGUGAGGGCAAGCUCUCCUGUGUUGAAGCAGAGGAGUUCAGCAGUAACUGUUAGUCUUUAUGAAAUCUGAACUUCACAACCCCAGCAAGAUGUUUGAACUUCACAACCCCAGCAAGAUGUUUGAACUUCACAACCCCAGCAAGAUGUUUGAACUUCACAACCCCAGCAAGAUGUUUGAACUUCACAACCCUAGCAAGAUGUUUGAACUUCACAACCCCAGCAAGAUGUUUGAACUUCUCAACCCCAGCAAGAUGUUUGAACUUCUCAACCCCAGCAAGAUGUUUGAACUUCUCAACCCCUGAAUGAUUUCAGCAGUAACCUCAUGACACUUAAAUUGGGCAAGUAGUUAGUUAAACCAGGACAACUAACAUGAAGUAAAUUAAUAUUUCAUGUAUUCCUUGCUAUGUACUUUACCUUCUGUUAUAUUUAUUUUAUAUUAAACUGAUGUUUAUAAGAUUUAUAUUUUGGGAACAUGUUUGUUUAAUAAGAGGUGUGAGUGUUGCUCAUACCAGGAUGCUACACCUGGGUGCUGCUCAUACCUGGGUUGUUUAUACCUGGGUGCUGCUCAUACGUGGGCUAUUUAUACCUGGGUGCUGCUCACCUGGGCUGUUCAUACCUGGGGGCUACUAACAGCCUGGGUAGUGCUUGGGUUAUCAGCCUGGGUAGCACUGGGGCACUAUCUGCCUGGGUAGCACUGGGGCACUAUCUGCCUGGGUAGCACUUGGGCACUGCCUGGGUAGCACUUGGGCACUAUCUGCCUGGGUAGCACUUGGGCACUAUCAGCCUGGGUAGCACUUGGGCACUAUCAGCCUGGGUAGCACUUGGGCACUAUCUGCCUGGGUAGCACUUGGGCACUAUCUGCCUGGGUAGCACUUGGGCACUAUCUGCCUGGGUA